AAUAAGUUAGUUUAACAUUAAAACAUAAGUUUGUCAAACUUAUAAUACUAAUUAUUUUUGUACUUAUUU
rnacentral:tRNA from 1 species